CUCCCGACGUUUCCUUGAACUAACAUGAGAGAGUUAUGUUUGACUGACGUAACUCUCUCUCGUUAACAUUAUGAAGAUGUUAGAGAGUCAUCAUGUUUUAUAACGUUCACGAUUGUGGCAAUGAAGAGUUAUGUCAGUUUUUUGAGAAAACUUUAGUAAAGCUUGUUUCUUCAGAUUUUCAUCUUAUAUUUUGGUAUUUCAGUUUGUAGCGUGUCAAUAGCGUGCGUCCAAACAGAACUGAAUAGUACAACUUGACUCGGUCAAAACAGUGAGAUGCUUGCAUCAGAAGGGUCAAAGUACCCCCAGAAGCAUGCUUUGACGUGUAUUUGGCAGUAAAUAAGGAAGCAUAGUUGCAAGAAAAUUGAAAAAAUUAAGAAAAUUGAAUCUUUCAGCAAUUCAGGUUUUGGAAAUAUUUUCCCAGAUCAGCCAAUAGGGCAUUACAUGCAUUGGAAAGGUUUUCUGGUUCCAUCUAAUACGAGAGCUGUAUCUGAAUGCUGGGCUUUGUAGAUAAUCCAAGUGAGCAUGUAUAAUAAUUUAUUUACUCGUACUCGCUUCACUUGGUAAGUACCAAAUUACUACAAGUUUCUACUAGCGUGAAAUAUUAAAGCUGAAACUUGAGAAAAAAGUAAAUUCACAAUAAUUUUACUAGAAUGUGGAAGUUUUUUUCAAAAAACUGACGGACAUAACUCUCUUCAUUGGCAUUGCCACAAUCGUGAACGCGGUGAGUUAUAAAAAAUGAUAACUCUCUAACAUCUUCAUAAUGUUAACGAGAGAGAGUUACGUCAAACAUAACUCUCUCAUGUUAGUUCAAGGAAACGUCAGGAGAGUUAAGAAAUUGGGUGUGGUCGUUGGGAAAAGUGGGCGUGGUUUGGGUGUGGUUCGAACAUAACUCUCCGAAAUCAUAACUCUCUGAGAUAACUCUCCGCUUCAUAACUCUCCGUUUAGCGACUUUAGCCGGUCCCAUUCAUUAUAUAAUUGUUCAUCCUAAUUAGUAUCGUUGGAAAAAGUGGGCGUGGUUUGGGUGUGGUUCGAACAUAACUCUCCGAAAUCAUAACUCUCUGAGAUAACUCUCCGCUUCAUAACUCUCCGUUUAGCGACUUUAGCCGGUCCCAUUCCAUUAUAUAAUUGUUCAUCCUAAUUAGUAUGCUUUUGUAGUCGUAUUUUAAGCUAUUCAGAACACUCGAACUCGCGUUUUAUCAUAUCUAAAACGCUCGGCUGCGCCUCGCGUUUUAAAUACGAUAAAACACUCCUUCUAGUGUUUUAAAUACUACGUAAUAGAAUACCCAAUAUUUACGCUGCUGCACAACUUACAUUGCCCAAGUUGACGUUACACAUAUAUACAUUUUCAAACAGCUUGUUACACUGAUUACUGUGUGACAUUUACAUAUAUAGUAGAUAUUAUAAUAUACAAUAUUUACAUGAAUAUGUCAGGAAAUUACAAAUAUAUACAAUUGUAAAUAUACUACAAUUGUGAACAUUUGCAUGUCCAAACUUUAUAAAAAAUUCUCUUAAAUCACGAUCUAUAGCCUAUAUUCAAUACUUACUACCUAUAUGUGUCCCCGAAAUAAAACAAUCGUUGAAGAGCCUUGAAUGACAGAAAAAUAUCGAGCAGCAUUAGGAGGUUUAAAAACUGAUUAUUGGGCUCGAUGAAAAUCCACCCCAUCAAAUGGUCCGCCCUUAAUACAUAAAAUUUCUAAAAUCCAUAUAUAGAAUAGUCGUCGCAUGCAAAUCGGCCAUUUCUACGUGUGAACCUCGUAGGUUUAUAAUUAAAACGGAGAUUAUUUUCAUUAUAAAACAACAAGUCAGCACUAUUUAAACUACGAAAAUGUCAGCAAGUUAAUGUCAUCAUCAUUUAAUUCUGCCAAACAGAAGCUCCAAAACUAAGGCGCUUUUUUACAAUAUUUCCAAAAGUUUAAGUUUCCCGAGA